rnacentral:rRNA from 1 species
GAUGAACGCUGGCGGCGUGCCUAAUACAUGCAAGUCGAGCGAACGGACGAGAAGCUUGCUUCUCUGAUGUUAGCGGCGGACGGGUGAGUAACACGUGGAUAACCUACCUAUAAGACUGGGAUAACUUCGGGAAACCGGAGCUAAUACCGGAUAAUAUUUUGAACCGCAUGGUUCAAAAGUGAAAGACGGUCUUGCUGUCACUUAUAGAUGGAUCCGCGCUGCAUUAGCUAGUUGGUAAGGUAACGGCUUACCAAGGCAACGAUGCAUAGCCGACCUGAGAGGGUGAUCGGCCACACUGGACCUGAGACACGGUCCAGACUCCUACGGGAGGAAGCAGUAGGGAAUCUUCCGCAAUGGGCGAAAGCCUGACGGAGCAACGCCGCGUGAGUGAUGAAGGUCUUCGGAUCGUAAAACUCUGUUAUUAGGGAAGAACAUAUGUGUAAGUAACUGUGCACAUCUUGACGGUACCUAAUCAGAAAGCCACGGCUAACUACGUG